rnacentral:rRNA from 1 species
UACGGAGGAUCCAAGCGUUAUCCGGAAUCAUUGGGUUUAAAGGGUCCGUAGGUGGAUAAUUAAGUCAGAGGUGAAAUCCUGCAGCUUAACUGUAGAAUUGCCUUUGAUACUGGUUAUCUUGAGUUACUAUGAAGUAGUUAGAAUAUGUAGUGUAGCGGUGAAAUGCAUAGAUAUUACAUAGAAUACCAAUUGCGAAGGCAGAUUACUAAUAUUACACUGACACUGAUGGACGAAAGCGUGGGUAGCGAACGGG